UACGGAGGGUGCGAGCGUUAUCCGGAUUCACUGGGUUUAAAGGGUGCGUAGGUGGGCAGGUAAGUCAGUGGUGAAAUCUCCGGGCUUAACCCGGAAACUGCCAUUGAUACUAUCAGUCUUGAAUACCGUGGAGGUGAGCGGAAUAUGUCAUGUAGCGGUGAAAUGCUCAGAUAUGACAUAGAACACCAAUUGCGAAGGCAGCUCACUACACGAAUAUUGACACUGAGGCACGAAAGCGUGGGGAUCAAACAGG
rnacentral:rRNA from 1 species